UACGAAGGGUGCAAGCGUUAAUCGGAAUUACUGGGCGUAAAGGGUGCGUAGGUGGUUGUUUAAGUCUGUCGUGAAAUCCCCGGGCUCAACCUGGGAAUGGCGAUGGAUACUGGGCAGCUAGAGUGUGUCAGAGGAUGGUGGAAUUCCCGGUGUAGCGGUGAAAUGCGUAGAGAUCGGGAGGAACAUCAGUGGCGAAGGCGGCCGACUGGGCCGACCCUGACGCUGAGGCGCGAAGGCGUGGGGAGCGAACGGG
rnacentral:rRNA from 1 species